UCGCAGGGGCCAUGCUAAUCUUCUAAAAUUGGAAUGAUACAGAGUAGAUUAGCAUGGCCUCUGCACAAGGAUGACACGCAAAUUCGUGAAGUGUUCCAUAUUUUU
rnacentral:snRNA from 1 species